AUUAGUGGUACAUGUCGCAACGUUCCAACUAUGACAAAACAAGAAAUUUUGGAGUCGUGGGGAUGUACUGCGGAAGAAUUAACGUACGUGACACAAGAUGGCUUCGUACAAAAUAUGAUUAUUGCAUAUAAGGGUACCCAAAGAACCAGUAAAGCAGUAAUGUUGUUUUUGGGUAUAUUUACAUGUCGUUAUAGUUUCAUAUCGGUUGAAGAAAAUUCUCUUGGCAAGUACUCAUUUAGUAGUAACAAUCUAGAAUUAAGGGUUACACUAAUUUUAGCGUAUCCUUUAUUGCAAAACGGAUACACAGUUAUGUUACCGACGUACAGAAAUGCCGAACCAGAGUCAAGUACUAAUAUUUAUAUGGAUUCAAGUGACCCGAACUUUAAUAAUUACAGGUAUUGUGAUAAUUUUCGAUUUCGAUUCGAUUCAUUGAUACAAAUAUUUUAUAAUUAUAUAUGACAAUAUUGAGUUUCAGCUUAGAUACAAUAGCUCAGUAUGAUGUGAAAUCAGCUUUUGACCAAGUGAUUACAAUCAAUAAGCAAUUUAUUGUAAUAGCAUAUUCGAUGGGCUGUGCUGUCUCUUCUAUGUUUUUAAUUGACAAUCCCACAUAUCAGAAUAAUGUUCUUGGUAUGGUAUUUUGUGCGCCCGGUAUUUAUUUGCAGGGUUCUUCGUUAACCACCCUAUCAUAUACUGUUCCAGUUGCACAAAUAGCUUUGCAAGUUACGAGUAAUUGUGGAGUAAAUUUACCAUUUUCUGCUGGUACUUCCGAUUGUUUAACAAUGUUAGCCGAAGAGCAAGGAUUACAAACAAUAUUUGGACCAACUUCCCAAGUCGACUGGAGCACAGUUCCAUACAGUGAGACUUACAAUUAUGGCGGAACUUGUUGUACAGUUUUAAAACAUUAUAAUCAAAUUAUACAAUUCGUAGCUUUGAUUAAAUACAGAAAUGACCUAAAUUCUCCUCCAAACUAUUAUGAUCUGAAUAAAUUAAAUGUUAGUAUAACGAUAAUAUCUGGCACAACUGAUCAACUAGUUCCAAUA